GAUGAACGCUGGCGGCGUGCCUAAUACAUGCAAGUCGAGCGAACGGACGAGGAGCUUGCUUCUCUGAUGUUAGCGGCGGACGGGUGAGUAACACGUGGAUAACCUACCUAUAAGACUGGGAUAACUUCGGGAAACCGGAGCUAAUACCGGAUAAUAUUUUGAACCGCAUGGUUCAACAGUGAAAGACGGUCUUGCUGUCACUUAUAGAUGGAUCCGCGCUGCAUUAGCUAGUUGGUAAGGUAACGGCUUACCAAGGCAACGAUGCAUAGCCGACCUGAGAGGGUGAUCGGCCACACUGGAACUGAGACACGGUCCAGACUCCUACGGGAGGCAGCAGUAGGGAAUCUUCCGCAAUGGGCGAAAGCCUGACGGAGCAACGCCGCGUGAGUGAUGAAGGUCUUCGGAUCGUAAAACUCUGUUAUUAGGGAAGAACAUAUGUGUAAGUAACUGUGCACAUCUUGACGGUACCUAAUCAGAAAGCCACGGCUAACUACGUG
rnacentral:rRNA from 1 species